rnacentral:rRNA from 1 species
UACAGAGGUCCCGAGCGUUGUUCGGAUUCACUGGGCGUAAAGGGUGCGCAGGUGGGUUUGCAAGUUUUGAUGUGAAAGCCCCGGGCUUAACCCGGGAAUGGCAUUGAAUACUGCAGAUCUGGAGGAUUGGAGGGGGGACUGGAAUUCUUGGUGUAGCAGUGAAAUGCGUAGAUAUCAAGAGGAACACCAGUGGCGAAGGCGAGUCCCUGGACAAUACCUGACACUGAGGCACGAAAAGCCCAAGGG